rnacentral:pre_miRNA from 1 species
GGCAGGAAAAGGAAGAAAAAGAGUGCAUAAGAGCAGUGUGAAUGAGAACAUCGAGGAAAGACCACCACCUUGCUGAUUUGCUCCUGUAAAGGUGGAAAUUCGGUGUGGUGCUUCCUGAUGCCUCUCGUUCCUAUUGUUCUUGCGCGCUCAUUCCUUUUCCUUGUGGCU